rfam:Macaca mulatta chromosome 19, whole genome shotgun sequence.
GACUUUGGCCAUACCACCUUGAUACCAGAAGCUAAGCAGGGUCAGAUCUGGCUAGUACUGGGAUGGGAGACCACCUGGGACUACCGGAUGCUGUAGGAU